rnacentral:rRNA from 1 species
AGAGCGAACGCUGGCGGCAGGCUUAACACAUGCAAGUCGAGCGGGCGUAGCAAUACGUCAGCGGCAGACGGGUGAGUAACGCGUGGGAACGUACCUUUUGGUUCGGAACAACACAGGGAAACUUGUGCUAAUACCGGAUAAGCCCUUACGGGGAAAGAUUUAUCGCCGAAAGAUCGGCCCGCGUCUGAUUAGCUAGUUGGUGAGGUAACGGCUCACCAAGGCGACGAUCAGUAGCUGGUCUGAGAGGAUGAUCAGCCACAUUGGGACUGAGACACGGCCCAAACUCCUACGGGAGGCAGCAGUGGGGAAUAUUGGACAAUGGGCGCAAGCCUGAUCCAGCCAUGCCGCGUGAGUGAUGAAGGCCCUAGGGUUGUAAAGCUCUUUUGUGCGGGAAGAUAAUGACGGUACCGCAAGAAUAAGCCCGGACUAACUUCGUGCCAGCAGCCGC